rnacentral:rRNA from 1 species
AUUGAACGCUGGCGGCAUGCCUUACACAUGCAAGUCGAACGGUAACAGGUCUUCGGAUGCUGACGAGUGGCGAACGGGUGAGUAAUACAUCGGAACGUGCCCGAGAGUGGGGGAUAACGAGGCGAAAGCUUUGCUAAUACCGCAUACGAUCUCAGGAUGAAAGCAGGGGACCGCAAGGCCUUGCGCUCACGGAGCGGCCGAUGGCAGAUUAGGUAGUUGGUGGGAUAAAAGCUUACCAAGCCGACGAUCUGUAGCUGGUCUGAGAGGACGACCAGCCACACUGGGACGGAGACACGGCCCAGACUCGUACGGGAGGCAGCAGUGGGGAAUUUUGGACAAUGGGCGCAAGCCUGAUCCAGCCAUGCCGCGUGCAGGAUGAAGGCCUUCGGGUUGUAAACUGCUUUUGUACGGAACGAAAAGACUCCUUCUAAUAAAGGGGGUCCAUGACGGUACCGUAAGAAUAAGCACCGGCUAACUACGUGCCAGCCGCCGCCGUAACAC